rnacentral:antisense_RNA from 1 species
GUCAAUGAUGAGCUAGAUGGAGGGAUCGAAAGAUCCGCCGUUUCUCGUAGCGGUAUUGCAAACUCUGUCUAGUUCAUCGCCAAC